UUUUUUUUCACCCGCGCGCGUGUUUGAUCCUGUUUGUGUGGCGCAGUUGAAAUCGAGAAUACUUAAGUCGAAUCGCGUGUGCUCGUGAAGGAAGUUGUUCCGGCGUUCGUUCAACAUGGUUCUGAUGGACAAAUCCACCGGGUGACCGAACCGGAACGGCUCUGGGAUGGCGGAAUUUUCGCAUAUUUGGGGACUUCUUCUACCAGGCCCGGCGCCUGCUGCGGACACUUCCGGCCGGAUUUGUUCAGGAUGGUCGUUUCGUCUGGAGGCGAAAAUCGUUAGAGGCCUAUUUCACUAAGGAUUGUGCUUCACAAAUACGCGAGAGUCCGCAGUAGAUCCGGCACCGGCUACAAACAUUUCGAACAAC